UACGUAGGGGGCAAGCGUUGUCCGGAUUUAUUGGGCGUAAAGAGCGUGUAGGCGGCCAAAUAGGUCGGUUGUGAAAACUGGAGGCUUAACCUCCAGACGUCGACCGAAACCAUCUGGCUAGAGUCCGGAAGAGGAGAGUGGAAUUCCUGGUGUAGCGGUGAAAUGCGCAGAUAUCAGGAAGAACACCCGUGGCGAAGGCGGCUCUCUGGGACGGUAUUGACGCUGAGACGCGAAAGCGUGGGGAGCAAACAGG
rnacentral:rRNA from 1 species